rnacentral:rRNA from 1 species
UACGUAGGUGGCAAGCGUUGUCCGGAAUCAUUGGGCGUAAAGAGCGUGUAGGCGGUCCGUUAAGUCGGCUGUGAAAGUCCAAGGCUCAACCUUGGGAUGCCGGUCGAUACUGCCGGACUAGAGUUCGGAAGAGGCGAGUGGAAUUCCCGGUGUAGCGGUGAAAUGCGCAGAUAUCGGGAGGAACACCUAUGGCGAAGGCAGCUCGCUGGGACGUUACUGACGCUGAGACGCGAAAGCGUGGGGAGCAAACAGG